UGUAAGCGUAUACCAAAGUUGUUGCAGUUAAAACGCUCGUAGUCGGAAUUUGGCAGUUCCGGAUGUGUGCACGUCGUGUGCGCACUUCGCGGGGAUUGCUUUUGUGGUCUUGCGUAGGAUGAGGCACUUUUAUUAGUGAACGUCCUCACGCAACCACUUUUUACUGUGAGAAAAUCAGAGUGCUCAAAGCAGGCAUUUGCCGUGAAUGUAUUAGCAUGGAAUAAUAGAAUAGGACUUGGUUCUAUUUUGUUGGUUUGUUGGGACUGAGUAAUGAUUAAGAGGGACAGUUGGGGGCUUUUGUAUUUCGGUGCUAGAGGUGAAAUUCUUAGAUUACCGAAAGACAAACUGCUGCGAAAGCGUCUGCCAAGGAUGUUUUCAUUGA
rnacentral:rRNA from 1 species